AUACGUAGGGUGCAAGCGUUAAUCGGAAUUACUGGGCGUAAAGCGUGCGCAGGCGGUUUUGUAAGACAGUGGUGAAAUCCCCGGGCUCAACCUGGGAACUGCCAUUGUGACUGCAAGGCUGGAGUGCGGCAGAGGGGGAUGGAAUUCCGCGUGUAGCAGUGAAAUGCGUAGAUAUGCGGAGGAACACCGAUGGCGAAGGCAAUCCCCUGGGCCUGCACUGACGCUCAUGCACGAAAGCGUGGGGAGCAAACAGGAUUAGAUACCCUGGUAGUCCACGCCCUAAACGAGGUCAACUGGUUGUUGGGGAUUUAUUUUCUCAGUAACGAAGCUAACGCGUGAAGUUGACCGCCUGGGGAGUACGGCCGCAAGGUUAAAACUCAAAGGAAUUGACGGGG
rnacentral:rRNA from 1 species